rnacentral:rRNA from 1 species
CCUACGGGAGGCAGCAGUCGGGAAUAUUGCGCAAUGGAGGAAACUCUGACGCAGUGACACCGCGUAUAGGAAGAAGGUUUUCGGAUUGUAAACUAUUGUCGUUAGGGAAGAUCAACGACUGUACCUAAUGCUUCCGCCCCGGCUAACUAUGUGCCAGCAGCAGCGGGAAUACAUAGGGGGCAAGCGUUAUCCGGAAUUAUUGGGUGUAAAGGGUGCGUAGACGGAAGAACAAGUUGGUUGUGAAAUCCCUGGGCUCAACUGAGGAACUGCAACCAAAACUAUUCUCCUUGAGUGACGGAGAGGAAAGUGGAAUUCCUAGUGUAGCGGUGAAAUGCGUAGAUAUUAGGAGGAACACCAGAGGCGAAGGCGACUUGCUGGACGAUAACUGACGUUGAGGCACGAAAGUGUGGGGAGCAAACAGGAUUAGAUACCCGAGUAGUC